rnacentral:lncRNA from 1 species
AAUUUUGCAUCGGAUGAAAACCUUGGUCAUCAGCAUAUGGGGGCUGGGUUCCACCAAGGGAAAAGUUCGAAUGCAAGUACCAGUGAGUUCCAUGGGAGGAACUUGAUCAUGUAGAGGUAUGAUCGAAGCACCUGGAGAGUUGGACUGCUCCAGAGCUCAUAUUCGCUUAAGGGAGCCCGGCAAGUCAGAGGACAAGGCCGAGUAAGCGAACGUUGCUACCAAGGAAGCUAAGGAGAACAGAAUCGGUGCAAACCUUACAACGUGAUGGCAGAGGCCAUGCAUGGAAAUUGCAGUCUGUCUUUCCAUCAACCAAACAGACUGCUUGGAGAACACAGAGGUGUUGAAGCAGGGGGUCGAAAGGGGCGAGGAAGCGACGACGAGUCCAGAGGGACUUAGCUACCC